rnacentral:lncRNA from 1 species
GCCAUCAAUCCCCAAUUGAUCGAGCCAAUCGCGUCCGCGAUGCCAUGGACGUUCAAUGGAUUUUCCCCGAUCUCGCCCAGAAAAUCAUACUCCACGAGACGUUUAACCUUCAAAAAUGUCAACCGUCGUUUUUCCUCGAUAGACAACCCACGUGUUGUCUUUAUAAACAGCGGAUCUUUUGCCAAAACACUCCAAAUAUGUUCCUUGGUCUCCAAUAAUUCCUCGCCGUCUAUAAAUCGCUUCAUUUCAUACCAGUCGAAGGAAGCUUUUUUCCUAUAAAUGUCCAAAGGUCCGGGGGGAAAUUUAGUAAAUAUUUUGCUGCUGUCCACCAUUUUAAAGCUGCUUUCUUCUUCCCAAAAGAAAAUUUUAAAUGCAAGAGGUGCCAAACAAAAAAU